rnacentral:lncRNA from 1 species
UUCUACCCUCUCAGCUGAAAAUAAGGGCAGCCACAAGUAGACCGAUAACUUUUUAAGAAAAUUAACACUAUAUACUCACACAAUACACACUCUUAAAGACACAAAUCAGAUCUCUCUCUCUCAACCAAACCCAUCCUCUUUAUGCACUUCUCCGGUGAAUAUGGCCAGACUUCGAUGAAAUCGGCCGCCAGUCACGACACCGACAACAUCACCCCUUUUCGCUGCUCCUUUACAUGGCUGCUUUGUCAGAAUUGAUGGCCGGCGAGUUCCAACCAAAUACACCAACCAGCCGACACUGUUGGCUCGUCGGAUUUGACCACCGGUAGGAGCGCCUCCUCAGGCUACCACUGCACGGCUUCCCCUUCUUUUCCCUUUUCACCGCCACUGCUUCGCCGAAAUAGAUGUAUGAAAAAGCACCACCACCCUCUCUCUUUCUAUAUCACUUUUUCUUAAUUUGUUGAUUGGAUAAGAUUAGAUUCAGCUGAAAUAUUGAUACUCUGACGUUUCUCUGGCAAAGGUUGUGGAAGCAAGGCCACUGUCUUCACUAAUUUAUGGUGUUGUCUCAGUUGAAUAAAGUUUCAUAUUUUUUUAUAUUGUUACAUUAUUGUACGAAUCUGGUUGGAGCCUGUAUUUUUUGACAACUUCUUGGUUGUUUGGGCUGACUCUCGGUGAAUCUUUUUUUUUCUCAGAGACAUUAUAUUUGUUUUUGCAGUGUGUUGUUUUAUUGAUUGACCAUUGUUACUAGUGUGUUGUUUAGCUGAUUUCACUCACUUAUUGCCUCUUUAUUUUGCUACUGGUGGCUAUUGUUUUUAGUUGUUAAGCAGUUAGAGAAUCGGAGAUGCGAUUCUAUGACCGUUUUGAUUUUUGACAAUCUUUUGUUAUCUGGA